rnacentral:rRNA from 1 species
GAUGAACGCUGGCGGCGUGCCUAAUACAUGCAAGUCGAGCGAACAGACGAGGAGCUUGCUCCUCUGACGUUAGCGGCGGACGGGUGAGUAACACGUGGAUAACCUACCUAUAAGACUGGGAUAACUUCGGGAAACCGGAGCUAAUACCGGAUAAUAUAUUGAACCGCAUGGUUCAAUAGUUAAAGACGGUUUUGCUGUCACUUAUAGAUGGAUCCGCGCCGCAUUAGCUAGUUGGUAAGGUAACGGCUUACCAAGGCAACGAUGCGUAGCCGACCUGAGAGGGUGAUCGGCCACACUGGAACUGAGACACGGUCCAGACUCCUACGGGAGGCAGCAGUAGGGAAUCUUCCGCAAUGGGCGAAAGCCUGACGGAGCAACGCCGCGUGAGUGAUGAAGGUCUUCGGAUCGUAAAACUCUGUUAUUAGGGAAGAACAAAUGUGUAAGCAACUAUGCACGUCUUGACGGUACCUAAUCAGAAAGCCACGGCUAACUACGUG